rnacentral:rRNA from 1 species
GACGAACCGUGCGAACGUUAUUCGGAAUCACUGGCUUAAAGCGCGUGUAGGCGGGAUGGCACGUCGGUCGCUGAAAGCCCCCGGCUCAACCGGGGAAGUGGCGCCGAUACGACCACCCUGGAGGGACGUAGGGGGACCUGGAACUUCCGGUGGAGCGGUGAAAUGCGUUGAGAUCGGAAGGAACGCCCGUGGCGAAAGCGAGGUCCUGGACGUUUACUGACGCUGAGACGCGAAAGCCAGGGGAGCGAACGGGAUAGAAACC